rnacentral:rRNA from 1 species
UACGUAGGGUGCGAGCGUUGUCCGGAAUUAUUGGGCGUAAAGCGUGCGUAGACGGUUAUCUAAGUCGGAUGUGAAAGCCCCGGGCUCAACCUGGGAAUUGCAUUCGAGACUGAAUAGCUAGGGUGCGGUAGAGGGAAGCGGAAUUUCCGGUGUAGCGGUGAAAUGCGCAGAGUAUCAGGAGGAACACCGAUUGCGAAGGCAGCUCGCUGGAACGUUAACUGACGCUGAGACGCGAAAGCGUGGGGAGCAAACAGG